GAUGAAGAACGUAGUGAAAUGCGAUAAGUAAUGUGAAUUGCAGAAUUCAGUGAAUCAUCGAAUCUUUGAACGCACAUUGCGCCCGCCAGUAUUCUGGCGGGCAUGCCUGUUCGAGCGUCAUUACAACCCUCAGGCCCCCGGGCCUGGCGUUGGGGAUCGGCGGAAGCCCCCUGUGGGCACACGCCGUCCCUCAAAUACAGUGGCGGUCCCGCCGCAGCUUCCAUUGCGUAGUAGCUAACACCUCGCAACUGGAGAGCGGCGCGGCCAUGCCGUAAAACACCCAACUUCUGAAUGUUGACCUCGAAUCAGGUAGGAAUACCCGCUGAACUUAAGCAUAUCAAUAAGCGAGGA
rnacentral:misc_RNA from 1 species